GAUGAAGAACGAAGUGAAAUGCGAUAAGUAAUGUGAAUUGCAGAAUUCAGUGAAUCAUCGAAUCUUUGAACGCACAUUGCGCCCGCCAGUAUUCUGGCGAGCAUGCCUGUUCGAGCGUCAUUUCAACCAUCAAGCCCCAGGCUUGUGUUGGAGCCCUGCGGCUGCCGCAGCCUCCCAAAACCAGUGGCGGGCUCGCUAUCACACCGAGUGCAGUAGUUUACUCUUCGCUCAGGGCGUGUGGCGGGUGCUAGCCGUGAAACCCCCAACUUCUCAAGGUUGACCUCGGAUCAGGUAGGAAUACCCGCUGAACUUAAGCAUAUCAAUAAGCGGAGGA
rnacentral:misc_RNA from 1 species